CACGUAGGGCGCAAGCGUUGUCCGGAAUUAUUGGGCGUAAAGAGCUCGUAGGCGGUCUGUUGCGUCCGCUGUGAAAACCCGGGGCUCAACCCCGGGCCUGCAGCCGAUACGGGCAGACUAGAGUUCGGCAGGGGAGACUGGAAUUCCUGGUGUAGCGGUGAAAUGCGCAGAUAUCAGGAGGAACACCGGUGGCGAAGGCGGGUCUCUGGGCCGAUACUGACGCUGAGGAGCGAAAGCGUGGGGAGCAAACAGG
rnacentral:rRNA from 1 species